rnacentral:rRNA from 1 species
UACAGAGGUCUCAAGCGUUGUUCGGAAUUACUGGGCGUAAGGGGUGCGCAGGCCGCGCGGGCAGUCAAAUGUGUAAUUCAGGGGCUCAACCCCUGAACUGCGCUUGAUACUUCCGCGCUCGAGCUUUGGAGAGGAGUCUGGAAUUCUCGGUGUAGCAGUGAAAUGCGUGGAUAUCGAGAAGAACACUUAGGGCGUAGGCAAGACUCUGGACAAAUGCUGACGCUCAUGCACGAAGGCUAGGGUAGCGAACGGG